UCCUGUACACUGCUGUACACAAUUAUUGACCCAAAUAAUUUUAUGAUUCAAUUCCUAACUGACAAAUUCUAAAUAGAUCUGAGUUUAGUUUACAAAAAACAAUGAAAUUUCUAAUCGUUACACUUUCAGUUAUGCUUAUUGCAGCUAUUUUACCGAAAGGGAAUUAUGCUCACUAUGCAAGAGGCUUCUCAUUGGACGGUAAACGAUGGGACCCGUCCUCUGAUUUCAAUUUUGACCUGGCUAAAAAGAGUAGUGAGUUCUCAACAGACGGCAAACGAUGGGAUCCGUCCUCCGAUUUUAACUUCGACCUGGCUAAAAAGAGCAGUGAGUUCUCAACGGACGGCAAACGAUGGGAUCCGUCUUCCGAUUUCAAUUUCGACCUCGCUUGAAAGAAAAGUGGAUAUGAACAUAAAAAAUGCAAGCAGAGUAGUGAUUUUCCGAUGGGACUAGCUUGUGUGGGAGGAGCAUGCAAAGACAUUUGAAAACAAAAAAAGACAUUUUGGAAGAACACUUCUUGUUUUUUUUAAACAUUUCAAAAGAGAGCUGGAUUGAUAAUUCAAUAGCGGUUCUAAAU